rnacentral:lncRNA from 10 species
AGAUGGACAGAGUCGAAUGUGGAGACCUACAUUGUGAACUUUUGCUCUAAGAACUACCACAGGAACAUACCAGGAAAGCCAAGAGAAUCCACAGACACUCUGAAGGAGGUGACAGCCAAGGAACUGUGCUGAUAUCAUGGAGAGACCUGAAGACAGAUCACAUCAUGGGACUCUUUGCAGACACUCCCCAGUACCAUCCAGGAGUCCAGUAGCUCCACUGGUUGGCUAGAUCCAGAAGAGAAAUCACAAUCACUGCUGUUCAGCUCUCAGGAAGCCCCAUCCCUAGAGGAAAGGGGAGAGCACCACAUCAAGGGAGCACCCUGUGGGACACAAGAGUGGGAACAGUAGCCCUUGAGUUCCAGAUCUUUCCUCUGACAGUCUACCCAAAUGAGAGGAAACCAGAAAAACAAUUCCACAAUGUUCUUUAACUCCCCCAAAAGGUCACAGUAGGUCACCAGCAAUGGAUCCAAACCAAGACAAGAUAUUUGAAUUGCCAGAAAAAAAAUUCAGAAGGUUGACUACUAAGCCAAUCAAGCAGCUUUACUCUAGGGACUGUGCUUGAGGUGUUCUGUCCAGUUUCCUUUUCUUCCAGUUUCUGAAGCCCCUUAGCUGCAUUUUUUUUUUCAAUUGCUUACCCAUCAUUCCAUUUGCCCUCAGUAGUCAAGUCAACCUGUGAGGGUCUCUUAAGCAUCAGCAAGCCAGCUGUGAUAAGAGUUAUGGUAGCCUCCACUCCUGGAACACACAUGGUACCAACUGCAUGCACUGGAGGAACACACUCCCCUGUCACCCCAGCCGUGAGCCUCCCAACUUCAUGGGUUCAAGUCAGCCUGGCCCACCUGUGUAGUCCCCACAGUUCCUCUGAGCCAUGAGGACCAGCAGCCUCUCCCAGGUCUACCCUCAAGCUUGAACCCAUGAAAAUUAAUUGGUCUCUGAAAGCCAAGCUCUCUUCACAGUACUGCAGUUCCCCCAUGCCCUAUCCCCAGCUCCCACCACAUGGUCACUGGUCUCCCAGCUCUUAUAUCACCCAGAUGAUAGCCAUCUGACUGUUCUCUCUAAUAAAGAUUCAUGAAGAGCUCGCCUCGUAUAUGCUGUUGUUUUUAGUUUAAUGAGAUAUUGGAAGCUUUUGAUAGAGCUGUUUAAGAGGAUUGUAGAGGCUAAGGGAAAGUUCAAAUGUUAAAAAAUUUAAUAAAGUACAUAACCGUGAAUUUUAACAGGAUUAAAAUUCAAAAGGUCCAUAACAAUAGACCAUGAAAAGACUCUCCCUUUAUUAUUUUUUUGCUGUACCCUUUCAGAGAUAUUCUAUCCAUAUGCCAACAAAAUGUAUACGUAAUUUCCC